GAUGAACGCUGGCGGCGUGCCUAAUACAUGCAAGUCGAGCGAACAGACGAGGAGCUUGCUCCUCUGACGUUAGCGGAGGACGGGUGAGUAACACGUGGAUAACCUACCUAUAAGACUGGGAUAACUUCGGGAAACCGGAGCAAAUACCGUAUAAUAUAUUGAACCACAGGGUUCAAUAGUGAAAUACGGUUGUGCGGUCACUUAUAGAUGGAUCUGCGCCGCAUUGGCGGGUUGGUAAGGUAACGGCUUUUCAAGGCUACGAUGCGUAGACGACCUGAGAGGGUGGUAGGCCGCACUGGAAGGGGGACACGGUCCAGAGGCCUGAGGGAGGCAGCAGUCGGGAAUCGUCCGCAAUGGGCGAGAGCCUGACGGAGCAACGCGAAGUGAGGUGUGGAAGUGCUGGGAUCGUAAUACUCUGCUAUGAGGUAAAAACCAAUGUCUAAGUAAAUGAACAGGUCUUGACGGUAACGAGUCAGGAAGCCACGGCUAACUACGUG
rnacentral:rRNA from 1 species